ensembl:lncRNA
AUGAAUGGAACAGUCAAACUCUCUCAAAUUAACGUCAUUGAAUCCUCUCAGAACAACACUGAAGAGCUUCUGAUUCCUGCACUUCCAGAAAAAGCAAAUAUAGAAAGAGGUUAUGUGACCCCACAGCAGGUAUACAACCUCCUGAAUGCUGAAGCGGGCCAACCUUCACUGCAUGAUCCCUAUUAUAUACUGAUACUGGACUGCCGCUCUGCAGAGAGAUAUAAGCAGAGUCACCUGGUCACAGCCCGUGCCAGUGUGACGGUGAUGCAUCCAGAGCUGGGCUGUUUGAUAAGCUGUGUUCAACUGCAGGAGUUUUCUAUAAUACUGCUAUAUGCUGAAGAAGGCCAAAGUCCAGGUAUAACAUUUUUAUAAUAUACAUAAAAUAAAACCUAAUUAAAAUGAUUAUUAAUAAUAAUA